rnacentral:misc_RNA from 1 species
CCGGCCACCGCCCCAGCCUGUCGAUCUCAUCUCCCUGUGAUUUUUUAUCAGCCGUCGGGGGGAGAAAAAUCUUCCCUGUUCUUAUCCCCUCGUCGCCCUGCUCAGAUUUUCUAGCCACCGCUGUACUGAUAUUUUGGCGCGCGAUGCCUAUUCCUUGCGCGCUCCUCUCUGCCGAGCGGCUUCUUCACGCGUGUCUCUCUCUCCCUGGUGCCUGCUCGCGACAAGCUCCUGCUCCCUUCCGUGGUCGCGUGCUCAGCUCUACUGCAGGCCGCGCCCAGCUUCUCUCCCUCGGCGCUCACAGCUCUCUCUCUCCCCUAGUCCCUGCCAUGGCCGCCGUUCCCUGGUCGGAGUUUCUUCUAGCUCGGAUCUCCUCCCUACGGCGCCCGAGCUCCAUGGCUGCUGCGUUCUUCAGCCGACGCGUCCUGCCGAGUCCUUCUCCAUCCCCACGGCGUCCUGCUUGCCCAGCUUUCAUCCAUGGCCGGAGCCCUCCCAUGUCACGUCCCAGCCAAGCCCCUGCCUCGAUCCCUGUCCGGGCCUGGCGGUUGCGCUGCUCUGGUGCCCAGGCUCUAGCGCGCUCGUCAUCAGCUCGACAUCUCCUCGAGCUCGCCCCUGUCUUCCUGCUCGGCGCCCAAAUUCCUGCUCGCCUUUGCGUCGCGCGCGUAGCGUUCCGUUGUUUCUACGCGUGCUGCCGCGAAGCUCUCUGUUCAGUUCACCUCCAUCGCGUUGUCGUGCGCGCGAAAUUGCUCGCUCCACGCUAUCGUCGUUUCCUCGUGCCCGCUGGUCGUGCGCCCCUGCAGCUCCCUGUUCGGCAAAAUGUGUGGACCAGUGCUCGUCGCGUGUUGGGAAGAUCGGCACCGAUGUUCUUGCCGAAUAUUGAUUGUUUGAUUUUGGGGAGAUCGACGCACGCAUGGUGUUCGAUGAAUGGCUCAAACCGGAUAGCCUUGUCGAAAUCAUAGCUCCGAGUCGAUUCGGACAUGGUAAGCGGAUCCAUUUAUUUCCCGUGAGUAUAAGGAAUAGUUGGAUUGGAUAAAUAUAGUUGUCGCGAUGAUUAUCCUAUUGUGAGCUUACGUGUCGUAGUUAUAUUUGUCGUAAGAUAAAAUGUCUUAGCAUGCAUUGUGGUAUGGUUAGUGUUUGUGGCAGUGGUUCGAUUAUUCAUUGACGUAGACUCCUGAUAGUGAUUUGCGGGUUUAGUUGGGAUAAGCUGGCGCAGAACCAAAAAUUAGUGCGAUAUUUAACGUAAUCCCGAAUUAGUAUUCAUUAAUCAGUAUAGUGGACUUGAGCUAAAUUUAUUAUUGGCACGCGUUUUUGUUAGCCAAAAUAUUAGAAUUAAAUCCGAUUAAAAUUAGAAUGCCAUCGAUAAGUUUGUUUCCAUUAGAACUGAAUUCAGCCAAGUUAAAUAAUAUGUCUGGUAGAAUGUCGAAGCCUGAGUCGUCGUUAUUUUUGUGGGAUUCGUGGCGGGUUAAUAAUAGUACUCUGGUUUACUACUACUCACCGGGUUAUUAGUGAAUAGGAUAGAUAAAUAAUUGUU